ensembl:lincRNA
UUCUGAAUGCAGUAAUUGUGUUUUAUGGCCUUUUGUACUUUCACAGCAACUUACACAAAAGUUGAAAAUUAAAAGGCACUAAAGUAAGCAAAGCAUAACAGUUGUUAAUAAGACAUAUAGGAACAGCUAGGAUCCAUUGCAAGCCUUGAAAGCAGCACCAUGCCUGAAAUUAAGUUUGUGAAAAUUUGGAAUUACUUCAACAAAGCUUAAAAACCUCAGUAUGGAACAAGAGUGAAAAUCGGAAACUCUGAGCAUUCUAUCUCAGAAAAAUAGCCUGAAAGGAGGUGAUUAAGGAUAUUGGAGUUAUGAAAGGAUAGUUGCGGGGAUUAGUGAUCCACUUUUCUCUACCAUGCUAAAUACAAACAAAUUUAAAGCCAAAACUGCCUCAGGUAUGUGAAAUGAAAUGAAGAAAUGGGACAAAUAAUGCAUGGGGGAUUUAUGCCUUUAUUUCUACUGAUGGAGUCAGUCUUGCAGAACACGAAAUAAAGUAUCAAGAAGACUCUUAUAUCCCCAGGUUCACAUUAGAAGAAAUUUCACACUGUCCCCAGUGUAUGUCACAUUGGUGCACAUUAGCAAAGCAAAUACUGAGAAUAUAUUGGUCGUAGAAGUUUCAAAAUAGCAUUUGUACCAGUAAGAUAAGGAAUGUUAAGUCCAUAUUGGGCAAACAGAGGAAAAUGGCACAUAAUAAUGAUAGGUAUAAUAUAUCUCUGUGCUCCUUCCCUCCACUUCAACAGGCAUUUCAGCAGCUGGGUUUUGUUCCAGAAAAGACGAAAACAGAGGCAGAGAGGAAUCCCAAACAUGGAAUUGAUUGUUCUUCACUUUAUAAACUUUAGUUCCACCUCAGAAUGUCUACAGAAAGCAGUUUCUGACACCCAUAGCCUUGCGGAAGGUCCGGCCAAGGGCAUUCUUCACCUCAUUAUUUCUCAGGCUGUAGAUAAUGGGGUUCAACAUGGGAGUUACAAUAGUGUAGGACAAUGAUAGCACUUUUUUGCUCUCAGGAGAAUUAUUGGACUUUGGACGGAAGUAGGUGAGGCUUGAAGAUACAUAGAAGAGGGAGACAACAAGGAGGUGGGAUGAGCAGGUAGAGAAGGCUUUAUGCUUCCCCUUAGCCGAUGGAAUCUUCAGGAUGGCAGCAGCGAUGCGAGUGUAGGAACAUAGGAUCAGCAAGCAGGGCGUCAUGACAACCGGAAUGGUUCCAAUGAUGGCAUAGAUCUCAAACCGUGCUGUGUCUGCACAGACCAGCCUCAGCACAGGAGGGCUGUCACAGAAGAAGUGGUUCACUUUGUUGAUGCCACAGAAUGGAAAGCUGAAGAGCCACGUGGUCUGCACAGUAGCUACAGGAAUGCCAGGAAACCAGGAGACAGCUGCCAGUUUGGCACGUGUCCUUGGGUUCAUGAUGACUGGGUAGUGCAAGGGACUGCAGAUGGCUACAUAGCGGUCAUAGGCCAUGGUGGCCAGGAGGAAGCAUUCAGAAACCCCAAAGAAGAAGAAGAAAUACAUCUGCGUGGCACAGCCAAGAAAGGAGAUGGUUGUGUCCUGGGCAAUCAGGGUUCCCAGCAUCUUGGGCACGAUGACUAGGUUGAAGCCAAUCUCUAAGAAGGACAAGUUCCUGAGGAAGAAGUACAUGGGGCUGUGCAGCAUGGGGUCAGCCAAGGUCACCAGAAUGAUGAGGCUGUUUCCCAGCAGAGUGACCAGGUAGAUGAAUAGAAAUGUCAGGAAGAGUAAUGACUGUAUUUCAGUAGGAAAGGAAGAGAAACUCAUGAGGAUAAACUCACUUACUCUUGUCCAGUUUCCUUCAGCCAUUGAUAAAUGAAUGAAGGUGUGGUCAUGGAGAGAGACUCUUGAUUGGAAGAGUCAGAUUCUGGAUUUGUUUUCAGACUCUUAGUGUCAGGAAAAAAGCACAAUCAGGAUCUCAGUUGUAACAGAAAGUGCCUUGGGUUAUCUAAGAAUUAAUAUGAAGAAGACAGUAUGGAGUCUGAGUUCUGAAAUGGGCAAUGUCUCAUCCUUCCCCACUCUUACUCUUUAUGAUCCAUUUUCUAUUUUGUUACCAUAUUUACUAAAACAACUUGGAUCAUAUCUAUAUACAUUCAUUUUCUGCUGCACAUUUAAUACCUUAGUAGUGGGGUUCAGUGAGACAGGUCCUGAGGCAAUGGAGUGGAGUCAGGUGGAAAAACAGUAGAAAUUUUCCAUUUGUACCUAUUAUAUAUCCCCCCUUCUUUAAAGAUUCCUGGUGUUUAUAUUCUCCAUCUACUGCCAAAGUAGGAUUUACCUUUAUGUACACAUUUAAGGACUACAAACAUGAAAAGUAUUCGAGAGGGUAUAGAGUAGAAAAAGUCAAUUGCUUUAUCAUGUUUUGUUUUGACAUGACUCAAAGUAGUAGAAAAUGUGGCAGUGAGAUGCAAAGGAAGGCUAUCUACAGACUGUAAUAGUUUUAAUGCACUUUCUCUCCUCCUUCAAUAUAAGAACUGUAGAGUACUUCUAGUCAUGUAAUGCUUAUUCCUUCUUGUCUAAUUAGAUUAUGAGGUAACAACCUUAGGAUAUUUCUCAUUAUUCCAGCAAAGCUAUAAUUGACAAUCGAUUGUCAGAAUUCAGAAUAUCCACUGGCUUUCAACAUUAAGAUAUGAGAGGAGUAUUGUAGUACACCUAAGUAGAUAAAGAGUAUGUCCCAGUAGAGUCCAGCUACGUCUCUUUCAAGAGUGGACAAACUGGAAAAAAGAAGCAGAUACUCAGAAAAAUUCUGUGAAAAAUAUGAGGAAGAUUAGAGGGAAUGUUCAAAAGAUAA